GGCCUCGCCGUCGCGCCUUCGCCGUCGUCGUCUCCCAGCACCGCACGGCGGAGGUCCCGACGCGGUGAAGCAGCUGCCGCCGUCCCGUCAUCUGCCGCAACUCCCGGGUCCCGUCGGAGUUCGCUCGUCGUCGGAUUUCGUCUCGGUGGCCGGCCUUAAGCUAAGUCUUCGAACCCUUAUUAUCUAGCUCAUCUGAUUAGGUGAAUUUUGGUGUUGGAGGGCUUAUAUGUGACUGAUGCUGGGUUUUUUGUGAUUUUCAUUAAGUGAGGAUUGAGUAGAGGCUAUGUGAAAGUCGUUAAACAGUUAUCUGGAGAUUUUUCUGGUUGUUCAUUGUGGUGGGUUUAACCCUUCCAAACUCUACUUGUUAUUGCCAUUAGUCUAAGCGGCAAUUUCUAACAUAUCUUGGCAUUACUUGAUGAUCGUGGCUGCUGCUGCUGCUACUAUCUCGUGUAUCACAUGAUGUUUGAUUAAUUAAAGACAUCUGUCCCAAUAUAAUAAACACAAUUUAUAGUGUGUUUUUCCUAUUAGAGAAUGAAGCAUAUUUCAAGGACGGUGGAUAUUGAUUCUCUAAAGCUGACUCUCAUGCCUUUUUUUUACUAUAAAACCACCAAAUAAUUCACCCUAUCCAUCAAUGCAUGAAAAACAUUUUAUACAUAUAUUGUGGAGAAAGAGAUGGAUCACAAGUAGUACUCAUAGAUAGUCUACUGUCAUGGGGUUCUAAUUGAUAAUGUUGUUAAGUUCCAAAACUGAGUUCUUGAGCAUUUAUGGUUCUACGCCUCUAUGUUAUCUAUGAUGCUCCCUAAAUGAUGCAAAAGGGUGAUGGCGUUACCUAUUGUGGCCGUGGAGAAACGGGCUGCCCUAGUUGUUGCUCUCAAAAAAUGCUCCACUUUCUAACUCUAUAUGCUGCCGAAAUUUGAAGUGUGUGGUAGGGGAGAACUUGAUGCAUAUGAAAGGGGGUUUUAUAGACAAGAACGUGUACUUGUGAAGCAUUAACUUGAGCUGCUGUAUGCCUUGUUUUCUUUCUGCAGCAGAUCCUCUUUUCUGGAUUAUUGCAGCCACUUUAACUGCAUUCCUUGGUGGUGAUUUUUGCAGGUGCACAACAAGGGUGUAGGGCUGUUAACUGUGCUUUGCAGGGCUGCUGCAGCUGAAAAGGCUGAUCUUGCCUCUUGGCAGCCUUCGGUUAGGGCUGGGGAGAGUGCAGGAGCUUGCUGCCACUUAUCCUUCCUAUUUUGGCAAUCCCUUGGUCUUCAUCAAGAACGUGUUUGAGAAAUUGCUGCCAUUGCUGUUGCACCGCCGUUUGCUGGUGAUCUGGGCCCGCUGGUUCUCGAUCGUCGGAAGGGGAUGACUUGAACUUGUGAAGAAUAGAUUCGAGGCAUUUGCAUUAGGCAUUCAUGUAUUACUUGUGUUUUUUUUGUAAGUUAAGUCAUAGCUUGAAAUGUAACUAUUGUAACUCAUUCGACUAAGGAAAUAAACGAGCACAUGUUCAUUCUUCAA